AUGGUGCCGGUACCGGCUCCGCUCCCGGUUCCGUUCCCGGUUCCUCUCCCGGUCCCGGUUCCGCCGGGCUCGGUUCGGGCCCCCCCCGGUUCCGGAGCCGCUCGGGGGCCCCGGGGCUGCCCCGGUUCCGUUCCCGGUUCCUCUCCCGGUUCUGUUCCCGGUCCCGGUCCCGGUCCCGGUUCGGGCCCCCCGGGGUCCCCCCGGUUCCGGAGCCGCUCGGGGGCCCCGGGGCUGCCCCGGUUCCGCUCCCGGAGGCUCCGCCCGGGCCGGAUGGAGCCGCCGCCGCUGACCCGGGAAGUUCCGCCCCCGCCGGCGGCCGCGGCCCCUCCUCUUCCUCUUCAUCAUCAUCCUCAUCAUCAUCAUCAUCAUCAUCUUCUCCUUCUCCUCCUCUUCAUUAUCGUCAUCUUCAUCUUCAUCCUGUUCUCCUCAUCAUCAUCUUCAUCUCCUCCUCCCCUUCCUCUUCAUCUUCAUCAUCCUCAUCCUGCUCUCCUCCUCCUUCUUCCCCUCUUCGUCAUCAUCAUCAUCCUCAUCAUCAUCAUCUUCUCCUUCUCCUCCUCUUCAUCUUCAUCAUCUUCAUCUUCUCCUCCUCUUCCUCUUCAUCAUCAUCAUCAUCAUCUUCUCCUCCUCCUCUUCAUCAUCUUCAUCUUCAUCCUGCUCUCCUCCUCCCCCUCUUCCUCAUCAUCAUCAUCAUCAUCUUCUCCUUCUCCUCUUCCCCCUCUUCCUCAUCAUCUUCAUCUUCUCCUUCUCCUCCUCUUCCACUUCAUCAUCAUCCUCAUCAUCAUCAUCUUCUCCUCCUCUUCCUCUUCAUCAUCAUCAUCUUCAUCUUCUCCUUCUCCUACUCUUCCUCUUCAUCAUCCUCAUCCUGUUCUCCUUCUCCUCCUCAUCUUCAUCUCCUCCUCCCCUUCCUCUUCAUCCUCAUCCUGCUCUCCUCCUCCUCCUCCUCCUUCUUCCCCUCUUUGUCAUCAUCAUCAUCCUCAUCUUCAUCCUGCUCUCCUCCUUUUCCUCCUCGUCUUCCUCAUCAUCUUCUCCUUCUCUUCCUCUUCAUCAUCUUCAUCCUGUUCUCCUCCUUCUCCUUCUCCUCUUCCUCAUCAUCAUCUUCAUCCUCAUCCUGUUCUCCUCAUCAUCAUCUUCAUCUCCUCCUCCCCUUCCUCUUCAUCCUCAUCCUCAUCCUGCUCUUCAUCUCCUCCUCCUUCUUCCCCUCUUCCUCAUCACCAUCAUCUUCAUCUUCAUCCUGCUCUUCUCCUCCUCCUCAUCUUCCUCUCCUCCUUCUCCUCAUCCUCAUCCUCCUCAUCUUCAUCCUCAUGCUGCUCUUCUCCUCCUCAUCUUCAUCCUCAUCUUUACCUUCUCUUCCUCCUUCUCCUCAUCAUCAUCAUCUUCAUCCUGCUCUUCUGCGCCUCCUCAUCUUUAUCUCCUCCUCCUCUUCAUCAUCUUCAUCCUCAUCUUCAUCCUCCUCAUUUUCAUCCUCCUCCCGUUCUCCAUCUUCAUCCUCAGACAGCUUUUCUCCUCCUCCUCCUCCUCAUCUUCAUCCCCAUCCUGCUCUCCUCCUCCUGGUCUUUCUCAUCAUCAUCUUCUUCUCCUCCUGAUCUUCAUCUUCUUCUCCUCCUCAUCCUCAUCUGCUCCUCAUCAUCAUCAUCUUCAUCCUCAUCCUGCUCUUCUCCUCCUCCUCAUCUUCAUCCUCAUCUUCAUCCUCCUCCCAUUCUCCAUCUUCAUCCUCAGACAGCUUUUCUCCUCCUCCUCCUCCUCCUCUUCACCUUCCUCUUCUCCUCCUCCUCUUCUUCAUCCCCAUCCUGCUCUCCUCUUCCUCAUCUUCAUCCUCCUCUUCAUCCCCACCCCGCUCUCCUCCUCCUCAUCUUCAUCGUCAUCCUCUUCUUCAUCCCCAUCCCUUCCUCCUCCUCUUCUUCAUCCUCCUCUUCCUCAUCCCCAUCUUCGUCUCUUCUUCUUCAUCCCCAUCCUGCUCUCCUCCUCCUCUUCCUCAUCCUCAUCCUCCUCUUCUUCACCCCCAUCCCUUCCCCCUUCCUCCUCCUCAUCUUCAUCCUCCUCUUCCUCAUCCCCAUCCUCAUCCUCCUCUUCUUCAUCCCCAUCCCUUCCCCCUCCUCCUCAUCUUUGUCCUCAUCUUCAUCCCCACCCCGCUCUCCUCUUCCUCCUCAUCUUCAUCCUCCUCUUCCUCAUCCCCAUUCUCUUCUUCUUCAUCCCCAUCCCACUUUUCUCCUCCUCUUCCUCAUCCUCCUCUCCUUCAUCCCCAUCCCUUCCCCCUCCUCCUCCUCAUCUUCAUCCUCCUCAUCUUCAUCCCCACCCCGCUCUCCUCUUCCUCCUCAUCUUCAUCCUCCUCAUCCUCCUCAUCUUCAUCCCCAUCCCUUCCUCCUCCUCCUCCUCCGGGCAGCUCCGAGCGGGGCACGAGGGAAGCACAAAAGGCGUUGA
ensembl:lncRNA